AUCCAACAUGAUUCCCUCUCCAAAGGGCCAGCUCACUCCCCACUUCAGGAAGUAACAAGUUGGAAUAAAAGCUGGUAUGCCCAAAAAAAAAAAAAAAAAAAAAAAAAAAUUAUGGUAUGCCUUAGGUUGUUGGAGAAGGGAUGUUUGCUUUGUGUUCCUUUGGUUGCCUACACAG